rnacentral:rRNA from 1 species
GACGAACGCUGGCGGCGUGCUUAACACAUGCAAGUCGAACGGAAAGGCCCCUUUGGGGGUCCUCUAGUGGCGAACGGGUGCGUAACACGUGGGUAACCUUCCCUUGCCUUCGGGAUAACUUCAGGAAACUGGGGCUAAUUCCGGUAAGGAAUCCUUGCUGCAUGGUGGGGGUUGGGAAGCUUCGGCGGCUUUGGAUGGACUCGCGGCUUAUCAGCUUGUUGGUGGGGUAGUGGCUUACCAAGGCGUUGACGGGUAGCCGGCCUGAGAGGGCGACCGGCCACAUUGGGACUGAGAGACGGCCCAGACUCCUACGGGAGGCAGCAGGGGGGAAUAUUGCACAAUGGGCGGAAGCCGGAUGCAGCAACGCCGCGGGCGGGAGGACGGCCUUCGGGUUGGAAACCGCUUUCAGCAGGGGCGAAGCUUGUGGUGACGGUACCUGCAGAAGAAGCACCGGCUAACUACGUG